rnacentral:lncRNA from 1 species
CUGGAAGGCACACUGUCCCAGAGGACAAAGGUUCUCUGGGCCAGAAGUCCCCAACCAGAUGAUCCAGCAACAGGAUGGAGGGUGCCCGGGGCAAGCACCAGCUCGUGUUGUCACCCUCACAGAGCCCCGGAAUCAAUGAAACUAGAAAUGUUACUGCAGAUGGAACCUCAGAUGACUUCAACCAGCACCUAUUAUCAAGGACCCCUAAACCAGCCUGCCGGCCCAUACCCGGACGUUGACACCCAAACCACCUCUCACGAGGAAACCUCAGCUACAGAACCCCUUCUAUGCCCCUAUUCAGCAGGAAGCAAUUAGAGUGGUCAUCCUCCCACACCCCAACAGCAGUUGGGCUCUCCUGUUGAGAGAGGGGACUGAGGGGUGGAGUUGGCAGGAUUUACUGGGCAGGUUUGGGGACUUUCACAGAAGACCCCUGUGACUCAGUGUUUUGAGUUCUUAACCAAUCGAGUGAAGGAUUCAGAAUUAACCACUCCAGGCCGGGCGCGGUGGCUCACGCCUGUAAUCCCAGCACUUUGGGAGGCCGAGGCGGGCGGAUCACGAGGUCAGGAGAUUGAGACCAUCCUGGCUAACCCGGUGAAACCCUGCCUCUACUAAAAAUACAAAAAAUUGGCCGGGUGUGGUGGCGGGCGCCUGUGGUCCCAGCUACUGGGGAGGCUGAGGCAGGAGAAUGGCGUGAACCCGGGAGGCAGAGCUUGAAGUGAGCCGAGAUCGUGCCAUUGCACUGCAGCCUGGGCGACAGAGCGAGACUCUGUCUCACUAAAAAAAAAAAAAAAAAAAAACAAAAAAAAAAAACACUCCAGAGGAGGAUUGAAAAAAGAACCACUCUCAAUGGACAAAAAGAAAGGGGAGGGGUAACAUAGGGAUAUGAGCCCUAGCCACCGGAGCCAGCAACGGCAACCCUUCCGGGUCCCCUUCCA